CUCUAACUCUUAAUUCAGGUUUGUGGGUACGAGUCGAAAAGUGUUGAAAUGACGUCACUGAGCUCACAGGCAGGUCACAGGGGAAAGUAAUCGAACCGCGAUUUUCCCAACUGCGCAUGCUCCAACACCAAAGAUGGCUGACGACAGUGAAGCGGGCGACUCAGCAGCACAGGUAAGGUACAUCAUCAUCGUAUGUGGUGCAAUAGAUGGGUACUCGAGAAAGAAUCGAGCGCCUGUGGCGAGAUGUCUGGAACAGCGUGACACACCUUUACUAUGAAGUUCUUCACAGUCUGGAGGAAGAUGGCCUGUUGCAUCUGGCAGAUGUUGUUCAUCUGUUUUGUGCCCACUAUGUUUUCCUUCCGUGUCUGGCAGACGCCCUUCACAGAAGGCUGGGACAACCAUCCUUUACAGACAGAAGGUGGACUCUUCCCAAGCCAGCUCUGGGUUGUGGGUCACAUGAAGAACCCGUGUGACCCAAACAAAGAUUUGCAGAACAUGGAGCUAUUUGGAACUGACUGGGAGAUGUUUGAUGCUGUGCACGAGGAACCAUAUGGCGUUCAAGUCCAGGAAAUUGAGUGCCCCUCUGAAUCCGUACAUUCUGGAAACUGUACAGUCCAUGAUAAAUCCCUUGGCAUCAUCAGAAUCAUAACAAUGGUUCAGUGUAUUGAAAAACAGGCUUGUGUCUUUGUCCAGUCAUCCACUGUAUGAUGCGUCCUACAGUCAAGCCUUCAGGGGUAACACUGUUGUUGCUGAGGCCCUUUUGUUCUUAAUGAAGAGAUUAACAGAAUGUUAGUCUGAAUUGAAAAUAUUACAGUUUAGUUUUCAAGUUAAUAAAUUCCCUUACAUAAACACAACAUACACAAAUCAUACUGACCUUUCUGAGUAUAAGAACCAACAACUACAUAGAGACCCACCAACAACAAGAACAUUUUUAUUCCUUAUGUGUCAGGAGUAUCAGAGAAACUACGCAGAAUCUUUAAUAACUAUGACAUACCGGUCCACUUCAAACCCAUGACCACACUUAGACAGAAGGACAAGGACAAAAUUCCCAGGGACAAGCCAAGCAACAUCAUACAUGCUGUCCAGUGCAGUGAAGAAUGCUCUGAUCUGUACAUAGGGGAAACCAAACAACCACUUCACAGAAGAAUGGCACAGCACAAGAGAGCCACCUCCACAGGACAAGACUCAGCAGUUCACCUACACCUCAAAGAAAAGGGACACUCUUUGAGGACAACAACGUUCACAUUUUAGACAGAGAGGACAGGUGGUAUGACAGAGGAGUCAAUGUUAAGUUGGGAAAACCCUCCCUUAACAGAGGUGGUGGACUCAGACAUCAUCUUUCUUCCACUUACAACACCGUGCUGCCUUCCAUUCCCAGGAAGUUUCAUUCCAAACCAUGAUUCCAGCAAGAACAAUGGUAACAGGUAACGAACCUGUCCCAGCACAGCUCUCUUUGCAGGCUCAUAGCUGUUAGACACACCUGACACUGACAGCCAGACAUACAGGUGAGUAUCAAAGACACUUAGAUCCUUGCGAGUUUCACACAGACCCACCCACUGAGGACCUCUACCACAAAUAAACCUGAUUCCUCACCGAACUAUUUUAGCAAGAAAACUCUACGAGUCCAGACGCCUUGCUUCAACCCUUCUGAAUGAAAAUAAUCUGGAUGACUGAGAAUCUUCAUCGACUUGUGACUGGAUCACAGGCAUUAUGUUGUUGCAAUUCAGACACCUCCAGUUAUUGUCAAUAUAACUAUGCAAGUCAUCCAUCUGUAAAGCCGCUAUGUCUACUUCCAUGACGCUGUGAAAUUCUACAUGUCACAAUAUUACAUGUCAUCAGUUACAUUCAUUUAUAUAGUGACUUCAAGCUUCAAGAAACGCUUAGACUAGAGAGAGAAAAAUCUGGAG